GGAGAGGUGGCUGAGUGGUCUAAGGCACUCGCUUGGAGAGCGAGCAGAGAUGCAAGUCUCUCGUGGGUUCAAAUCCCACCCUCUCCG
rnacentral:tRNA from 1 species